AUCAGGUAGAUAGGCUAGAAGUGGAAGUGUAGUGAUGCAUGGAGCGGACUAGUACUAAUAGGUCGAGGACUUAACCAAG
rnacentral:rRNA from 1 species